GCCCAGGUAGCUCAGGGGUAGAGCACAUCCUUGGUAAGGAUGAGGUCGCGGGUUCAAUUCCCGCCCUGGGCUCCA
rnacentral:tRNA from 16 species